GACGAACGCUGGCGGCGUGCCUAACACAUGCAAGUCCAGGAGAAUUGGUUUCUUCGGAUUCCAUAGUAAACUGGCGAACGGGUGAGUAACACGUAAAUAACCUGCCCUAGAGACGGGGAUAACACUGCUAACGCGGUGCUAAUACCGGAUGAUGCAGCGGAUCCGCAUGGAUAUGUUGUUAAAGCUGGCCUCUUCAUGAAAGCUAGCGCUUUAGGAUGGAUUUGCGUCCCAUUAGUUAGUUGGCGGGGUAACGGCCCACCAAGACAGCGAUGGGUAGCCGGCCUGAGAGGGUGAUCGGCCACACUGGGACUGAGAUACGGCCCAGACUCCUACGGGAGGCUG
rnacentral:rRNA from 1 species